rnacentral:misc_RNA from 1 species
CAAACUUGCAAGGAGUGAUCCUGAAAUAUUGAAUGAUAUUAAAAGACUUGAACGAUUCGUUAAGGUGGGAUUGUGGUGUGUCCAUCCUGAUCCAACUGUUAGACCUUCAAUGAAGAUGGUGAUGCAAAUGCUUGAAGGCAUAACUGAGGUUGGAGUUCCUCCAAUGUUGUAUCACUAAAUGAUUGUUUAAAUCAUCAUCAGGGAGUAGCAUCGGAGCAAG